rnacentral:rRNA from 1 species
AGAGUUUGAUCCUGGCUCAGCGCGAACGCUGGCGGCAUGGCUAAAACAUGCAAGUCGAACGCGAAAGUGACUUUGGUCACGAGUAGAGUGGCGAAAGGGCGAGUAAUGCGUCUUUUACGUACCCUCAGGUGCGGGAUAGCUCGGGGAAACCCGGGGUAAUACCGCAUAAUACCGUAAGGUCAAAGGCUUGCUGCCUGAGGCUCGGAAGACGUCCUAUCAGCUUGUUGGUGAGGUAAAAGCUCACCAAGGCGAAGACGGGUAGCCGGUGUGAGAGCACGACCGGCCGCAUCGGGACUGAGACACUGCCCGGACUCCUACGGGAGGCUGCAGUAACGAAUAUUCCACAAUGCGCGAAAGCGUGAUGGAGCAAUGCCGCGUGAAGGAUGAAGCCCCUCGGGGUGUAAACUUCUGUCAGGACCUAGGAAUUUUGACCGGGUCCAGAGGAAGGGCCGGCUAACUUCGUGCCAGCAGCCGCGGUAAUACGAAGGGCCCGAGCGUUGCGCGGAAUCACUGGGCUUAAAGCGUGCGUAGGCGGACUUGCAAGUACCUUGUGAAAUCCCGCAGCUCAACUGCGGAACUGCUUGGUAAAACUGCCAGUCUUGAGCCCGACAG